AUGGAUAAUAAGUGAGUGAAAUAAUAACAAUAUGUAAUUAAAGAUAAUUGAGUUUGGGUUUGGUAAAAUUUCUAAAUAGUUAUUAACUUUCGUGAUUAGAUUGGCGCCAGUAUUGAAGAAGUCUUGAAGUAAAGAUAACAGAAAUCAAGAUGAAGGUUUUAUUGUUCCUUGGGUUGACCAUGUUGUCAAGUAUUGUUAUGUCACAGAAUCCAGAUAGAAGAGUAUCUGUAUGUGUGUAUAAAGGAAGAAGAUAUCGUCAUGGUGAAAUUGUGACCCUCCCUAGAAGCCCUUGUGCCAGAUUCAGGUGUGAAUAUAACACCCUACGAUUAAUUAACCAAGAUUGUGUUGACAGAAAGGGACAAUGUGUCAGGGUCGGUCAAACAUGGGUCGAAGCAUGUAUAACCUACAGAUGCUCAACAAGAAAACUGAACAACAAACAACAUUAUAGGGGAAGAAUAUUAGAAAUGAAAUGUCCGGGUGCUAGAGGCCAGUGUCACUCACCAGGCACAAGUUUCGAGUUCAGAAUCGGAAUGCAAGUUUAUCCUAGUUGUACCUGUAGAAUUUGGUUAGAGGGACAGAGACGGAGAAUGAAAUACUUUUGUUAAAAUACAUUUUCUUUGUAUAUCGAUUUUUUUUUAUAUUCAAUAAAAUAUUGUAAUAUUUUG